UGAAAAGCUGAAAUAUGGAACUGAAAAGAGGAACUUGAUGUAGCUGUUCAUGAUGGUCACAGCUCUUGAAGUCAAGCAUCCCAAUCUGUCGAAGAGUACCAUGGUGCUUCAGCUUUAUGGAAAUAACUCAAUCUGUAGGCAAUCUUGUGCAAGUCCUGUGAGAUAGGUUUUAGAAAAAAAUUAUCAAGCUGUCGAGUACAUCGCGCAGUGUAAUAUUCAACAAGCGAUGGAUUCGGUUGGUUGCAGCGAUUUCGAUGUAAUAUUCAACAACUUUUUUUGCUGUGUACAGGUCCUACUCACUUGGUUCUUUCGAUACCACUAACCGACGAUUUAUCCGGAUUAUUUUGUAGUAUUUUUCACUACCAAGCUCACAAAUUCAAUUUUGGAAUAAAACUUUAUUAUCAC